rnacentral:pre_miRNA from 1 species
AUGAUACUCCCUCUGUCCAACAAAAGAUGUCUUAAAUUUGUUAAAAUUUGAAUGUAUCUAGACAUGACUUAGUGUAUAGAUGAAUUGAAAUUUAGUCAAAGUUGAGACAUCAUUCUUUGUUGGACGGAGGGAUUCCUAA